rfam:Cajanus cajan Scaffold000051_18, whole genome shotgun sequence.
GAGGUGUGAUGAGUUUUACAUUGGUCCGUGUUUCUGAAUCACAGUGACCGACAACUUUUACCAAUUUCUGAUCUC